rnacentral:lncRNA from 1 species
AUAGCUCCUGUGAAAAAGCUUGUGGCGAAGGGGGACAAAAAAAAGAAGAAGGUUCUGAAGUUCACUCUUGAUUGCACCCACCCUGUAGAAGAUGGAAUCAUGGAUGCUGCCAAUUUUGAGCAGUUUUUGCAAGAAAGGAUCAAAGUGAAUGGAAAAGCUGGGAACCUUGGUGGAGGGGUGGUGACCAACGAAAGGAGCAAGAGCAAGAUCACUGUGACAUCCAAGGUGACUUUCUCCAAAAGGUAUUUGAAGUAUCUCACCAAAAAAAUUUGAAGAAAAAUAAUCUAUGUGACUGGUUGCGCAUACUUGCUAACAGCAAAGAGAGUUACGAAUUACAUUACUUCUAGAUUAACCAGGAUGAAGAAGAGGAUUAA